rnacentral:rRNA from 1 species
UCUGGUUGAUCCUGCCGGAGGCUACCGCUAUUGGAGUUCGAUUAAGCCAUGCGAGUCGCGAGAAAUUAGAUUCUCGGCGUACCGCUCAGUAACACGUGGGUAACCUGCCCUAUGCUGGAUAAUAACCUCGGGAAACUGAGAAUAAUGAUCCAUAGUUCACUACGCCUGGAACGGUGAGUGGAUGAAAGCUCCGGCGGCAUAGGAUGGGCCUGCGGCGUAUCAGGUUGUAGGGGGUGUAACGUACCCUCUAGCCCUCUACGCGUACGGGUGUUGGGAGACAUAGCCCGGAGAUGGAUUCUGAGACACGAAUCCAGACCCUACGGGGUGCAGCAGGCGCGAAAACUUGGCAAUGCGAGAAAUCGUGACCAGGGAACUCCAAGUGCAUCGGGUAAGACCGGUGCUUUUCUUGACUCUAAAAAGGUCUUGGAAUAAGGGGUGGGUAAGGACGGUGCCAGCCGCCGCGGUAAUACCGGCGCCUCAAGUGGUAGUCGCUUUUAUUGGGCCUAAAACGUCCGUAGCCGGUCUGAUACAUUCGUGGGUAAAUCAACCAGCUCAACUGGUUGAAUUCUGCGAGGACGGUCAGACUUGGGACCGGGAGAGGUGUGGGGUACGCUCAGGGUAGGGGUAAAAUCCUGUCAUCCUGAGCGGACCACCUGUUGCGAAGGCGCCACACUAGAACGGAUCCGACGGUCAGGGACGAAGCCUAGGGGCACGAACCGGAUUAGAUACCCGGGUAGUCCUAGGUGUAAACGCUGUGGACUUGAUGUUGGGGGUGCUCCGAGCACUCUCAGUGUCGAAGCGAAGGUGAUAAGUCCACUGCCUGGGAAGUACGGUCGCAAGGCUGAAACUUAAAGGAAUUGGCGGGGGAGCACCGCAACCUGAGGAUUGUGCGGUUUAAUUGGACUCAACGCCGGGA